UAGUGGGGAAAAAUUAACAGCGCAUGCUCGAUUGAAUGUCAAGAACUAUAUAAGGAGGGUACAAGCUCUCCGAAGACUUGAGUAAGUUGAGCAUUCUGAAUCGAGACUUCGCCGUGGCAAGUCAUAAGGAUUUCAGAAUGAGAACGUUCAAGAGUAUUUUAUAACUAGUCACAAUUAUGGAAAUCAUCUAUAUUAUUUUAGACAACUUCCACCAGAUGGGACAUGUAUUAUAUGCAUAUAUAUAGAAACACUUUCUUUCUAAACGCAAUUAUAUAAAUCUUCUAUAUUAUUUUAAAUAACUUGUUUUCGGUAAAAUAAAUCAUAUUUCAAUUUUUUUUAACAAUCUAUCGAUCAUAGUGCAAUAUUAAAGGCUAAUUGUUUUUUUACAGUCAGUAAUAUCUGAUUAUAUUGAAGAUAGAACAAGAUAGAUGAAUGAUAGAACUAUUUGAGUAGAUAAAGGAAGGUGGAACUAUUUUCGCUAGUCCUUUAUCUAUGUUUAUUUCGUAAUGUAAAAAAGUAAAAAGUAAACAUCGAAAAACUUUCUUUCUAAACGUGAAUACUUGACAAUUAAUACUUUCGGCAAUUUUACAUUUAUAUAAAUAAUACGCGGAAUUGAGUAAAAUAAUAUGUAAAUAACAGUACAUUCGUUGAAACGUUACAAAACAAGGAACGCGAGUUAAACGUAAAAUAGCUUUUCUUUAAUUUUUAAUUCGAAAUAGUUGCCAAUAUCUAAUAAUAACAUAAACAAAUCUUUGUUUGAAUUUGAUUUGACUUCGUUUCUGCGUUAGUUCUCCUUGGUCCUCCGACGGGCAGACAUCUCUAAAAAAAACUACAUUAACGUAGUUUGACUCAUAUAUAUAUAAAUUUAAUUAGAUAUAAGUACAUACGCAUAUAUAAAUAUAUAUAGCUAUGUACUUAUAUCUAAUUAUAUUUAUAUAUCUGUAUAUCUAUGUAUGCAUUUAUACAUUUACAAUCUAUCUAUAUGUAUCUAAUACAAUCCUGGAAAAGAAGAUCAACAAAAUUUGAUUCCUAAAAAUGAAAUGAUCGAAAGGAUACGCAUAUUGAUAUGGAAAAUGAUCGAUAGGAAAAAUCAAAAGAAGAAAAAGGAAUCAAUGAAAAAAAAAGGAAGAUAAAAACACACAAAAAUUUCCCGUAAAAGUAAUAUCGAUCCAAAAUUAUUGGUAAUCUUGUGACGAGAUUACCGGAAAAGAUAAGCACGUCAAUUGAUCAACAAUCUGAAUGAUUUAAAAAAGAAUUCAAACUAUUUGACGAGAGUUUGAUAAGUUUAUUCUGAAUCGAAACACGAGCGUAACCAUUACUAAAAGUUUAAAAAGAGUAAGGACGAUCUAGGAAAAGAAGGAAGCAUACAAAAUCUCAGAAAUACCCAUAAAUUUGAAAUCAAUAUUGAGAAUUGCUGGUGAUAUUCUGCACUUCAUGUUUUUGUGAGAGAGCUUCGAUGUCUGCCCGUCGGAGGACCAAGGAGAACUAAUCCAGUAACGAAGUCAAAUCAAAUUCAAACAAAGGUUUGUUUAUGUUAUUAUUAGAUAUUGGCAACUAUUUCGAAUUAAAAAUUAAAGAAAAGCUGUUUUACGUUUAACGCGCGUUCCCUGUUUUGUAACGUUUCAACGAAUGUACUGUUAUUUACAUAUUAUUUUACUCAAUUCCGCGUAUUAUUUAUAUAAAUGUAAAAUUGCCGAAAGUAUUAAUUGUCAAGUAUUCACGUUUAGAAAGAAAGUUUUUCGAUGUUUACUUUUUACUUUUUUACAUUACGAAAUAAACAUAGAUAAAGGACUAGCGAAAAUAGUUCCAUCUUCCUUUAUCUACUCAAAUAGUUCUAUCAUUCAUCUACUUGCUCUAUCUUCAAUAUAAUCAGAUAUUACUGACUGUAAAAAAACAAUUAGCCUUUAAUAUUGCACUAUGAUCGAUAGAUUGUUAAAAAAAAUUGAAAUAUGAUUUAUCUUACCGAAAACAAGUUGUUUAAAAUAAUAUAGAAGAUAUCUAUAAUUGCGACUGGUUGCCUGCUGAAAUAUUAUUAUUGAUCGUUUCUCUUCUGGAAUUCCUUAUAACUUGUCGCUGCGAGGAAUCGAUUUAGAAUUAUCAGUUUGUUCAACACUCGAUGAUAUUUUGUACACCGAUUCAAUGAAUAAAGUAAAUUAAAAUAUAAAA